rnacentral:rRNA from 1 species
ACUAGAAAAACUUAGCGGCGAACGGGUGAGUAACACGUAAAGAACCUGCCUCAUAGACUGGGACAACUAUUGGAAACGAUAGCUAAUACCGGAUAACAGUAUUUCUCGCAUGAGAGAUAUUUAAAAGUUGGUUAUGCUAACACUAUGAGAUGGCUUUGCGGUGCAUUAGCUAGUUGGUGGGGUAAAGGCCCACCAAGGCGACGAUGCAUAGCCGACCUGAGAGGGUGAUCGGCCACACUGGGACUGAGACACGGCCCAGACUCCUACGGGAGGCAGCAGUAGGGAAUCUUCCGCAAUGGGCGAAAGCCUGACGGAGCAACGCCGCGUGAGUGAAGAAGGAUUUCGGUUCGUAAAGCUCUGUUGUUAGGGAAGAAUGGAUAUGUAGUAACUAUACAUAUAAGAGACGGUACCUAACCAGAAAGCCACGGCUAACUACGUGCCAGCAGCCGCGGUAAUACGUAGGUGGCAAGCGUUGUCCGGAAUUAUUGGGCGUAAAGCGCGCGCAGGUGGUUUAAUAAGUCUGAUGUGAAAGCCCACGGCUCAACCGUGGAGGGUCAUUGGAAACUGUUAAACUUGAGUGCAGGAGAGAAAAGUGGAAUUCCUAGUGUAGCGGUGAAAUGCGUAGAGAUUAGGAGGAACACCAGUGGCGAAGGCGGCUUUUUGGC